rnacentral:rRNA from 1 species
CUACGGGUCGCUGCAGUGAGGAAUAUUGGUCAAUGGGCGCGAGCCUGAACCAGCCAUCCCGCGUGCAGGAUGACGGCCCUAUGGGUUGUAAACUGCUUUUCUAUGCCAAGAAACCCUGUUACGAGUAACAGGUUGCCGGUAGCAUAGGAAUAAGCAUCGGCUAACUCCGUGCCAGCAGCCGCAGUAAUACGGAGGAUGCAAGCGUUAUCCGGAUUCAUUGGGUUUAAAGGGUGCGCAGGUGGGCUUGUAAGUCAGUGGUGAAAUGCUGCCGCUUAACGGUAGAACUGCCAUUGAUACUGCGAGUCUUGAGUAUGGUUGAGGUAGGCGGAAUGUGUUGUGUAGCGGUGAAAUGCAUAGAUAUGACACAGAACGCCAAUUGCGAAGGCAGCUUACUAAGCCAUUACUGACGCUGAGGCACGAAAGCGUGGGGAGCGAACAGGAUUAGAUACCCGUGUAGUC